rnacentral:rRNA from 1 species
UACGAAGGGGGCUAGCGUUGCUCGGAAUGACUGGGCGUAAAGGGCUCGUAGGCGGUUUGGUUAGUUAGGCGUGAAAUUCCUGGGCUCAACCUGGGGGCUGCGCUUAAUACAGCCAGACUAGAGCGUGAAAGAGGGUCGUGGAAUUCCCAGUGUAGAGGUGAAAUUCGUAGAUAUUGGGAAGAACACCGGUGGCGAAGGCGGCGACCUGGUUCAUUACUGACGCUGAGGCGCGAAAGCGUGGGGAGCAAACAGG